UUUGAAGACAAAGUGAGUGGAACAGCAGUCCGCUCCUAUUAAUGACGUGUCCUAAACCAUGGAUCAGAAAACUGCGCGGAACAAGCAGAGAUGUGGAUUAAGGACAGUCUGAAUCCCGGGUCCCCAGUGAGCUGUGAGAAAGCACAGCAAACGUCACCUAUGAGCUGGACAGCAACGCUUUGGGAUUUCUUAAGAGUCAGAAUCGGAAUCAGGUUUAUUAUCACCGGCACAUAACGUGAAAUUUGUUAACUUAGCAGCCCCAGUUCAAUGCAAUACAUAAUAGUGAAG